CUGAAGAAAAACAGGGUCUUGAGACUACAAUCCUUUGUGUGCUCGACCUUGAACUCUUUCAUCCACACACACCUUUGUGCACUAUGGGGACUGAACUGGUCCCCCAUUUUUACAUUAAACACCUAGUUAUAUGCAUGUUUUUUUACAUACUCUACGGAGUAAAAUGUAA
rnacentral:misc_RNA from 1 species